GAUGACUAAACUUAACGGUAGAGAAUUAAUUGAUUACAUAAAUUGUUGCGAAACUAUACAAUAACUGUCGAUAUUGUAUGUAUGAUGUAUAUAAUAAUGUAUGUAUAUAAUUUAAUUUAAUUUGCGUGUCUAAUCCCAGAGAGGUCCAAAGGGUGUGAUCGGUGCAGCCUCCUUGUGCGUUGACUGGUGUCCAGCAGGUCUUGUGCCAGGUUGUUUGGGUGGUCUUGAAGCCUCUGCAUGUACUGCCUGCUGCUUUUCUUAAUCUCAUCCUUCACCCAGGGGAAGCUGAGGACCUCGUGUAUAGUGGCAUUAUCGUGGAAAGGUGCCCCACAGUUGAAUGCCAUACGUCCAGAUUGGCCUUAUGAUCGCUUUGUAGAUAAGGAGCUUAGUGGAAGUCGGUAGCUUAGAUUGUCUGCCCAUCAGCCAGUAGAAUUCACGGACUCGGUUCUCCGCCUGUUUCCGCUUCUUUAGCAGGUGUGGUCUCCAUGUAAGUCUCCUGUCCAGUGUAAAGCCAAGAUAAUUUGGAUUGGCUACCUCUGGGAUUGGGAACCCGUUGAAACUGACUGGUGGGCAAGUGCCGCGUCUAGUUGCGAAGGUGGUAGCGGUUGACUUGUCGCUGUUUACCGAUAUAUUCCAUCUCGUGUGCCACGUGUUCAGUAGAUCUAGUUGCUCCUGCAUAGUCUGGGAGGCCUCUGCUGGGGUAUCUGCUGUUGUUAGGAACGCAGUAUCAUCGGCGUAAGUGGCUGCCAUAAUGUACUGGCUCGGUAUCACCGGCAGGUCAGCCGUAUACGCGUUGUAGAGGAGCGGACCGAGAACGCUUCCUUGGGGAACUCCUGCACGGGCUUCUUUGACGUCUGAGCGCGCUUCUCCACACCUGACGGCGAAUCUUCUGCCCUCCAGGAACGAUUUUAAGAACUUGAAAUAUGGCUGGGGCAGGCCGUUUUUGAGCUUUAGGAGGAGACCGGGGUGCCAAACACGAUCAAAGGCUUGCUUAAUGUCCAGCAUUACUGCUAGGCAGUAUUUCUUAUUCUCAAAGGCGUCCAGGAUAUAUUGCGCUACUCGGUGGCCUUGCUCUGGUGUCCCGUGGCGGCGCCUAAAGCCAAACUGGUGAUCAGGGA